rnacentral:rRNA from 1 species
AUGAAAAUAAUUGGCUUUCAUCCGUUUUCUGAGCCGUUCGAUCUCUGUCCUGAGAUUCCAUUGCUACCGCGGCCUUUGUCCCUUCCACUCUCUCGUUCCCUUUGUCAUUUCCCACACGCAACCGAACAGAGUCGAGAGAGAGGGAGAGAGGGGUCCAUGGCGACUUGGAGCUCUCCUAUCCGGCGGCUUAGUUCACUAGGGUGGUCGUCAGGCGUCCAACGUUCUUCCUCCAGCUGCCCCCUGGCUAUCCCCGCACGGAAGUCUGCAGCAUCUCUCGGGCACCGCACCCACCUGGCCCCCAAUUUUCCCCCGCCGGCAUUUCUGGCCUGA